rnacentral:rRNA from 1 species
AGAGUUUGAUCAUGGCUCAGGACGAACGCUGGCGGCGUGCCUAAUGCAUGCAAGUCGCACGCAGGGUGCUUGCACUCUGAGUGGCGCACGGCUGAGGAUCACGUGGGAACAUGCCUCCUUGUGGGGGACAACACCGCGAAAGCGGUGCUAAUCCCGCAUACGCUCGGCAACGAGGAAAGCUAUCACUAGCGCAGGGAGAGUGGCCCGCGGCCCAUCAGGUCGUCGGUGGGGUAAUGGCCUACCGAGCCUAUGACGGGUAGCUGGUCUGUGAGGACAGACAGCCAGACUGGGACUGAGACACGGCCCAGACUCCUACGGGAGGCAGCAGCAAGGAAUUUUCGUCAAUGGGCGCAAGCCUGAACGAGCAACGCCGCGUGGAGGAUGACGGCCUUCGGGUUGUAAACUCCUUUUGCGGGGGACGAUGACGACGGUACCCCGCGAAUAAGGCUCGGCUAACUCUGUGCCAGCAGCCGCGGUA